rnacentral:rRNA from 1 species
UUAAAUUGAAGAGUUUGAUCAUGGCUCAGAUUGAACGCUGGCGGCAGGCCUAACACAUGCAAGUCGAACGGUAACAGAAAGAAGCUUGCUUCUUUGCUGACGAGUGGCG